AAAUUCACUUUAAGUUUUCGCUAAAGGCAGCUCUCACCACUCUCUCGGACCUUUAGAAACCCUCUCUCUCUCAACUCCCUUUAUCAUCGCUGAAACACCCUCCAUCGCUCCGUCCAGAUUGCUCGCCAUCCAGGUCAUAGAUCUUGGCAUCCAAUUCACUGAGGUCGUCAUAUCCCUAGAGCCCAGGUUACUGAGGUCGCCAAAAGUAUCACCUCUCUCGAGCCCACUGGUCUCUUCUUUUCCAGGCUUCGCCUUCUCUUCGUCGACCCGUUCUCCGGUAAAUUUGAGAUGAUGAAAAUCGCUUGAUUCGUUUUUGAUUUGGUUUGAGAAUCGGAGAUGGAAGAUUGAGACUGUGUUGAGGUGUUUAGGUGUGGAUGAACAAUGUCCAACAAGAAUGAGAAUCAUCAGGCGGUUCCGCUCUCGGUGCUGCUGAAGCUUGAAUUGGCCAAUGAGAAGAUUGAGACUGAGAGACCUGAGAUUGUGCACGGUCAGGUGAGUCAGAGCAAGAAGGGGGAGGAUUUUACGCUGGUAAAGACGGAAUGUUAAAGAGUUGUGGGAGAUGGAGUUUCUACGUUUUCAAUUUUUGGCUAUGAUGUAGGAGCCAUAGAGGCAUUGCAGGUGGGAAGAGGCCACUCUUGUGAGAAAGGAGAUGAAAGAUGUCGGGAUCAAGAAGGGUGCAGGCUACAGUUAGAUCGCCGUCAAGAAUGCAGUCCACGUCUUCCAAGCGGACACCUCCCAUGAAAGGAUUAUUGGUGAUGAAUUGAUACCUUCUAACCAUUAUUUAUGUCAUUAUUAUUCUUUCCAAGAAAAUUAGAUACACAAAAUAUUGUGGAUUUUCAAUGCUCGAUUGGUACUUAGCUACAAUAUAAAAUAACAGGUGAAUAAUCAUUUAGUCUAGUAGCAUCUAGUUUUUACAGUAUUGAAUAACAGGUGGAUUUUUGUUGACUUGCUUUCUCUCGUUUGUCUUUUGACAUAUGUAGCUAAUUUAUGAUGCUUUAUCACUUAGCAAAAGCUCUAUUUCAAGUUUCCAAUCAAGUUUUUGGCAGCAACCAUCGAUUCAGGAGCUAGCUAUAGCUUUCUCUUUGUCAAAGUGAUUUUUGAUGUUCAUCUUUUAAUUUUCCUUUUAUUUAUCAGAGAAGGGUCUUUCUUUAUUCAUUGAUCUUCUUGUUUAGUGCAGUUCUUCCACUACCCAGGUAAUUAUUCUAGGCUUUGUUUGUUAUACGUUUUUAAUUUUUUCUUCAGUUUCUCUCUAAAUUUAUAUGGUUCAAUUUGUUUUUUCGUUUUUGAUGGGCAUCUGCAGUGCUUGGUUUAUAAGCUUUUUUUUAAAAUGUUAAUACUUAAUUGUAAUAUUAUAUGCUUUGAGCAUUUUUGGGUUGCACGCAGGAAGGCAACGUUUGUGGCUUUGGGUAAAGUGAAGCUUUAGUCACUCCUUGUCUGCUGCUUUAUUGAAGUUGUAAGAAAGACCAUGGCAAGGACACGAUCUUCAGUUUGUAAGAGAACAAGACUAUAGAGGUCUUAAGUGCACUACUAUGUGGGAAGAGAAGUUAAGGAGAAUGAUAGUCUCCUCCUAUAUUGAGAAAAGGAACAAAACAGAGAGUUCAAGAAAUGGCUCCAGUGGUUUUUUUUCCCUUAAGCUUUCUCCUUCUUUAUCAUGCUUUGAGUGCUUUAGUUACAUAAAAAAACUCCAACACUUUUGCUCUGGUUAUUGUUUUUUAUAUUUGUUCCUGAAUUAAUUGUUUAUUGUCAUGUAAAUGGUGAACUGUAGGAUUGGUAGAGCUGUACUAUAAUGGCAGCCAUGGUGUGGACAUUGAAGGUCCAGUAGAAGUUCGCAUCGAAUGGGAAAUAUUUAUGAGCAACCACAUGUAGUUCCUUUAUUUAUAAGUAUAGGUUAAUGCUAUAGAUAUGGUAUUUUGUAUGGA